rnacentral:lncRNA from 10 species
AUACCCCAUAUAUACACACAUAUACACACCUACAUAUAUACACACAUAUAUACACAUUCAUACAUGUACAUACACACCCCAUAUAUACACACAUAUACACACACAUCCCAUAUAUACACAGCUACAUAUAUACACACAUAUAAAAACCAUACACACAUAUACACACCCCAUAUAUACACAGAUAUACACACCUACAUAUAUAC